AGUCUGGUCAGUAACAUGACCCAAACACUGGCACUGACUUGACAUGUUCAGAUAGGGUAAGUGCUACUUGUUGGGGUAAUUUUAUUGACCACUGAAAAGAAAAU
rnacentral:pre_miRNA from 1 species